AGGAAAAGAAACCAACAGGGAUUGCCCUAGUAACGGCGAGUGAAGCGGCAACAGCUCAAAUUUGAAAUCUGGCGCAAGCCCGAGUUGUAAUUUGUAGAGGAUGCUUCUAGGUAGCGACCGGUCUAAGUUCCUUGGAACAGGACGUCAUAGAGGGUGAGAAUCCCGUAUGUGACUGGCCCGCACCUUCUACGUAGCUCCUUCGACGAGUCGAGUUGUUUGGGAAUGCAGCUCUAAAUGGGAGGUAAAUUUCUUCUAAAGCUAAAUACCGGCCAGAGACCGAUAGCGCACAAGUAGAGUGAUCGAAAGAUGAAAAGCACUUUGGAAAGAGAGUUAAAAAGCACGUGAAAUUGUUGAAAGGGAAGCGCUCACAACCAGACUUCUAGGCAGUGUUCCGCCGGUCUUUUGACCGGUCUACUCUCUGUCUCGAGGCCAACAUCAUCUGGGACCGCUGGAUAAGACCUUAGGAAUGUAGCUCCCCUCGGGGAGUGUUAUAGCCUCUGGUGAUGCAGCGAGUCUCGGGUGAGGUCCGCGCUUCGGCAAGGAUGUUGGCGUAAUGGUUGUCAGCGGCCCGUCUUGAAACACGGACCAAGGAGUCUAACAUCUAUGCGAGUGUUCGGGUGUCAAACCCCUACGCGUAAUGAAAGUGAACGGAGGUGGGAAGCGUAAGCUGCACCAUCGACCGAUCCUGAUGUCCUCGGAUGGAUUUGAGUAAGAGCAUAGCUGUUGGGACCCGAAAGAUGGUGAACUAUGCCUGAAUAGGGUGAAGCCAGAGGAAACUCUGGUGGAGGCUCGCAGCGGUUCUGACGUGCAAAUCGAUCGUCAAA
rnacentral:rRNA from 1 species